rnacentral:snRNA from 1 species
UUUCUCUUCAGUUCAUAUAAAUCUUUCGCCUUUUACUAAACAUUUCCGUGGAGAGAAA